AGCUCCGGUGGCCUAAUGGUUAGAGCAUCCGCCUCGGAUGCGGAAGGUCAUGGGUUUUAUCCCCGGUUGAGUCA